rfam:Brochothrix campestris FSL F6-1037 c41, whole genome shotgun sequence.
AACUCUUUUAAUUUAGUCCAGAGAGGCUAAGAAGGAGUUCUCCAGCAAGGAACAUCUGUACCUUAUGCUGCUGUGAACUCUUAUGACCUCUCAUAAGAGUUAUUUUUUU